rnacentral:rRNA from 1 species
CCUACGGGAGGCAGCAGUGGGGAAUAUUGCACAAUGGGGGAAACCCUGAUGCAGCGACGCCGCGUGAGUGAGGAAGGAUUUCGGUAUGUAAAGCUCUAUCAGCAGGGAAGAAAAGGACGGUACCUGACCAAGAAGCCCUGGCUAACUACGUGCCAGCAGCCGCGGUAAUACGCAGGGGGCAAGCGUUAUCCGGAUUUACUGGGGGUAAAGGGAGCGUAGACGGCUAAUCAAGUCAGAGGUGAAAGCCCAGGGCUCAACCUUGGGACUGCCUUUGAAACUGAGUAGCUAGAGUGCAGGAGAGGUGAGCGGAAUUCCUAGUGUAGCAGUGAAAUGCGUAGAUAUUAGGAGGAACACCAGUGGCGAAGGCGACUUACUGGACUGUAACUGACGUUGAGGCUCGAAAGCGUGGGUAGCAAACAGGAUUAGAUACCCUAGUAGUC